GGCCUCGUGGCCCAAUGGCAAGGCGUCUGACUACGAAAAAGACCUGUACCGACUCUUCAGUCCAUAUAGAGUUAUCCAUGGUUAUCAGGAGAUUCUGGGUUCGACCCCCAGCGAGGUCA